ensembl:misc_RNA
UCAGCAGCCCCCUUUUUUUUCAGAGGGUUGUGAACCCGCGUGGGGAUGAGGCCUGGUCUUGUGGAUACUGAACUUAGCUUCGCGGGCCUGACAGCUCUGGCCCGGGGUGGUAUGUAAU